rnacentral:rRNA from 1 species
CUACGGAGGGAGCAGUGGGGGAUAUGGACAAUGGGGGCAACCCUGAUCCAGCAUGCCGCGUGUGUGAAGAAGGUCUUCGGAUGUAAAGCACUUUAAGUUGGGAGGAAGGGCUUUAGGCUAAUACCUGAAGUUUUGACGUGCCGACAGAAUAAGCAGGGGCUAACUCUGUGCCAGCAGCCGCGGUAAUACAGAGGGUGCAAGCGUUAAUCGGAGUUACUGGGCGUAAAGCGCGCGUAGGUGGUUCAGUAAGAUGGGUGUGAAAUCCCCGGGCUCAACCUGGGAACUGCAUCCAUAACUGCUGGGCUAGAGUACGGUAGAGGGUAGUGGAAUUUCCUGUGUAGCGGUGAAAUGCGUAGAUAUAGGAAGGAACACCAGUGGCGAAGGCGACUACCUGGACUGAUACUGACACUAGGUGCGAAAGCGUGGGGAGCAAACAGGAUAGAGACCCUGGGUGUCCACGCCGUAACCAUGU